rnacentral:rRNA from 1 species
AAUUAUUAAUAGUAAAAUCUGCUCCAUGUUUAAUAAAUAGCCGCAAUUUGUGCUAAGGUAGCAUAAUCAUUUGUCUUUUAAAUGAAGACUAGAACAAAAGAUUUAACAUUUUCAGUUUAUUUUCCUAACUUAUUCUAUUAAAUUUAUCCUAAAUGUAAAAAGACAUUUAUAUAAAAGAAAGACGAUAAGACCCUAUUGAACUUAACUGUAGUUAAACUGGGGCAGUAAAUUAAUUAUUAUUUUAAUAAAACUUAUUAUAUAAAUAUCUUUUAAAAUUAAAUAAUUCAGUUACCAUAGGGAUAACAGCGUAAUAAUUUUCUAAAGCUCUUAUUUAAAAUAUAGAUUACGACCUCGAUGUUGAAUUAAUAACCUAACUAAGGCAAAACUUAGAAUAGGAAGUCUGUUCGACUUUUAAAAAAUUACAUGAUUUGAGUUCAGACCGGUGUAAGCCAGGUCGGUUUCUAUCUUCUAGAAAAAUUUUUACAGUACGAAAGGACCUAAGAAUUUAAUA